rnacentral:rRNA from 1 species
UACAGAGGGUGCAAGCGUUUGUUCGGAAUUAUUGGGCGUAAAGCGCGUGUAGGCGGCUAUGCAAGUCGGGUGUGAAAGCCCUCAGCUUAACUGAGGAAGUGCGCCCGAAACUGCAAAGCUUGAGUACUUAAGAGGAUCGCGGAAUUCCCGGUGUAGAGGUGAAAUUCGUAGAUAUCGGGAGGAACACCAGUGGCGAAGGCGGCGAUCUGGGAAGAUACUGACGCUGAGGUGCGAAAGCGUGGGGAGCAAACAGG